GCCUGGGUAGCUCAGUGGGUCAAGCAUCUGACUUCAGCUCAGGUCAUGACCUCACAGUUUGAGGGUUCCAGCCCUGCCUUGGGCU
rnacentral:tRNA from 1 species